rnacentral:lncRNA from 1 species
GGGAGUUCUGUGUGGGGUGCCAGCUAUGUGGGAAGCCUACAGUCAAAGGAAGCCCAUUACAUUAGAGGGUGUCAAAGCUGAAAUUCAGGCCCAAGACUCUAGGUUUCCCCACAACGCCACAGCUGCCUCCCAGUCACACCAAGAUCUACUUGAAUCUUGGCAUGGGACCUUCCUCUAUCCCCAGAGCCAAGUUUCCUAUGUCUAUAGAUGCUUAGGAAGUGCUUCAAAGGCCCCUUCAUUGGACUGUUUCUCCAAACCACAUUGCCAGAGCGGGAUGGAGGGAAAAGAUGGCCCUGAUCAUCCCGUGGCAGGAGAGAGAGCCCUUCAGCUCUCCCUGAGGGCAGGGACUGUAUCCCUCUAGCUCACCUUCUCCCAGCUCUCAGCAUGUUUCUGCGCAUGGCAGCCUCUCUUCAUCCGUGGCAAUGAUAUAGAACUAGAAUUCACAGUGUCCAGCAAGUGCCAGGUACCAAAUGACAUGACUCGUAGGCAUUACCCCAUUUGGUCUAACUUACACAUCAGCUAUUUGUAUUCCUGUUUUUCAGAUGAAGAGACAGGCUCAGAGGGAUUAGUGGGCUGAGAUUUGAACCAAACUACCCAUCUCCAAAGUCUCAGCCCACUCUAUAGCCUUUUUGAAUUGCUGUUGGCCCCCCAGCACCCCGGCGAGGGAAGGCGUGGGUGGCAAGACAAUUUCUCCUUUUGAGGAGCCAUGUGGGGGCAGGGCAGAGGCGCGGUCUGUGUCUUUUUGGUAAAUGGGCAGUAUUUUUAGAAGGUCCUCUUUGAAACUGUGCUUCCCCCUGGGCCACCACCUUCCACAUCCAACUCGAGAAAAUAUUCCUGAUCUUUUUGCCAUCAAAAGUCCUUUUUGGGGUUUAUUUUCAUCCCCACUUCACACUGCAUGCAGGAUUUGAAAGGCUAAGUGUAGACACUAAACAGGUGUCUGAAAUAACAAUUCACCUCUCUCUCCCCCGAGGGAAAUCAGGUGUCGCCACAAUGUUCUAACUCAGACUUAAACUAUCUGAAGAUCAGUGCAUGCAUCUCUUCUGGGAACAGCAUAACGUUCCAUCUCAGCUGGUGGGAGAUGAAUGGAGCUCAGAUGGUGAGCUUUGGGGUGAAAUUUCCCAACUUUCAGGUUAUCCCUACCUACCAACGCACUACAAUCUGGACUCAGGAUUACCAUCUCUCAGCUGGGGCCAUUUGCAUUAUUCAUUUAAAUGAGACAAAGGAUUUCCAUUUCCAGUGUGGCUGACCAGCUCCCAUAUGAUCAACGCUACCACAGGAUCUCACUCCGUUGUCCAGGCUGGAAUGCAGUGGUGCA